GACGAACCGUGCGAACGUUGUUCGGAUUCACUGGGCUUAAAGGGCGCGUAGGCGGGCAACCAAGUCAGGGGUGAAAUCUUUCGGCCCAACCGGAAAAGUGCCUUUGAUACUGGUUGUCUCGAGGGAGGUAGGGGCGUGUGGAACUUCCGGUGGAGCGGUGAAAUGCGUAGAUAUCGGAAGGAACGCCGGUGGCGAAAGCGACGCGCUGGACCUCUUCUGACGCUGAGGCGCGAAAGCUAGGGGAGCAAACGGG
rnacentral:rRNA from 1 species